GUUAGGAAUAUUGGACAAUGGGCGAAAGCCUGAUCCAGCCAUGCCGCGUGAACGAUGAAGGCCUUCGGGUUGUAAAGUUCUUUAGCCGAUGAUUAUAAUGACUGUAGUCGGAAAAUAUGCCCCGGCUAACUUCGUGCCAGCAGCCGCGGUAAUACGAAGGGGGCGAGCGUUAUUCGGAAUCACUGGGCGUAAAGCGUGCGUAGGCGGUUUUGUAAGUUAGGAGUGAAAGCCCAGGGCUCAACCUUGGAAUUGCUCUUAAAACUGCAAGGCUCGAAUCUCGGAGAGGAUAGCGGAAUUUCCAGUGUAGCAGUGAAAUGCGUAGAUAUUGGAAGGAACACCAGUGGCGUAAGCGGCUAUCUGGACGAGUAUUGACGCUGAGGCACGAAAGCGUGGGGAUCAAACAGGAUUAGAUACCCGAGUAGUCC
rnacentral:rRNA from 1 species